rnacentral:rRNA from 1 species
UCUUAAAAAUAUAAUUUUAAGUCCAAUCUGCUCACUGAUAUUUUAAAGAGCCGCAGUAUUUUGACUGUGCAAAGGUAGCAUAAUCAAUAGUUUUUUAAUUGAGAACUUGUAUGAAUGAUUAGACAAAAUUUAAUUUUCUUUAUUUUUAUUUUAUGAAUUUAAUAUUUGAGUGAAAAAUCUUAAAUUUUAUUAAAAGACGAGAAGACCUUAUAGAUUUUUAUUAAUUUUAAUUAUAUAAUUAUUAUUUAUAUUUAAAUUUAAUUUAAUUGGGGUGAUUUUGUAAUAUAAUAAACUUAAUAAAAUAAUACCAUGAAUAAUUGAAAUUUUUGAUCUAAAGGUUUUAAAAAUUAGAAUAAAUUACCUUAGGGAUAACAGCGUAAUUUUUUUUGAGAGUUCAUAUUUAUAAAAAAGUUUGCGACCUCGAUGUUGAAUUAAGAUUAAUUAUUGGGGAAGAAUAUAAUAUUAUUAGNCUGUUCGACUAUUAAAUUC